UUCAGAAGGAGUCAGGAAAGUCCACCUCUUCCAAGCAGACUGCCCGUACUGAGGGAACAAAGAAACAUCCACAAGAAUUCACUCUGGCUGGCAAAGGAUAAAGGAGGAUCAAGAGCAGAUACUGUAUCUGGAAGACUCCCACAAAAGCAGAGAGCCCAGAAAGAUGCAACACUUAGAAAAGACAUCAAAAUCGAAGCUGAAUAUUUGGAUUCAAACUGCAGAGGAAAAAAGGAGGAUAUUUUGGAGAAUCACAAGGGCCCAUUCACUGAGAUCCAUGGCCUAAACCAGCAAAUUUCCUUCCUGACUACCUGAAGAAUGCAGAAGGGG